GACGUAGGGGGCAAGCGUUGUCCGGAUUUAUUGGGCGUAAAGAGCUCGUAGGCGGUUUGUCGCGUCUGCUGUGAAAACCCGAGGCUCAACCUCGGGCCUGCAGUGGGUACGGGCAGACUAGAGUGCGGUAGGGGAGAUUGGAAUUCCUGGUGUAGCGGUGGAAUGCGCAGAUAUCAGGAGGAACACCAAUGGCGAAGGCAGAUCUCUGGGCCGUAACUGACGCUGAGGAGCGAAAGUGUGGGGAGCGAACAGG
rnacentral:rRNA from 1 species